rnacentral:tRNA from 1 species
UCGCGCGUGGGGCGGCGUUGUUCAAUCUGUUCGUGGCGCGGAUGGCGAUGCUGUUGCCGGAGCUGGUGUGCGUGACGCCGCGGGCGGC